rnacentral:rRNA from 1 species
ACUCAAAUGAAUUGACGGGGGCCCGCACAAGCGGUGGAGCAUGUGGUUUAAUUCGAUGGUACGCGAGGAACCUUACCAGGGUUUGACAUGCAUAUGACAGGUGGCGAAAGUCAUCCUCCAGCAAUGGCAUAUGUACAGGUGCUGCAUGGUUGUCGUCAGCUCGUGCCGUGAGGUGUUAGGUUAAGUCCUGCAACGAGCGCAACCCCCAUCCUAUGUUGCUACCGGGUUAAGCCGGGCACUCUUAGGAAACUGCCAGUGAUGAACUGGAGGAAGGUGGGGACGACGUCAAAUCAUCAUGGCCCUUAUGUCCUGGGCUACACACGUGCUACAAUGGAUAGUACAGAGGGUUGCAGAGCUGCGAGGCGAAGCUAAUCCCUUAAAGCUAUUCUCAGUUCGGAUUGAAGUCUGAAACUCGACUUCAUGAAGUCGGAAUCGCUAGUAAUCGCGGAUCAGAACGCCGCGGUGAAUACGUUCCCGGGCCUUGCACACACCGCCCGU